AUUUAACAUAAUAUUGGUAGUACAGGGAGUCCUCGGGUUACAACGUCUCGACAUACAACGUUUCGAUUUUACAGUGCUCACUCCCAUAAAAAUUUUAAAAAAAAUUGAGAUGUGAGAAAGAAUAAAGUGUCAAUAGCUGGUGAAGACUAGGUUGGCUGCAACUGCUGAAAGAAUGCUGAUGCUUUGACAAUUCUACAGUUGACAUCCACAUCAACAUUGCCAACAUUAGGAGAGAGUGCUUCCAAAGCAAUUUAGAUGUGCCAUUGAUUAAACUGUUUGUCCAGGACUGACAACAGAGGGGUGAAGUAAAUAUAAACUGCUGGCCAGCAGAAGGCAGGAGGGAGAGUCCACAGGAAACACUGCCAAGACACUCGGACAGGGCACAGGGGCUCGCAGGCAGACAAGGGUAACUGGCUGGCACAACGUGAGGCACAAGGACGGCAACACUUCCAGGGAGGAAGAGACAGCUCCACAAAGAGACGCCGGAUGUGGGUUCAGCGAGAGAGGGAAUCUGCAUGAAAGGACCCAGUAAAGCUGACAGACGAGAAAUGAGGCGUGCCUAGGUCCCAGCAACACAAGGAGCCCAGAGUGGAAGAAAAACGGACAACGAAGAGACGCUGACAGGGAGUCAACAAUUUGACACAACUUCUGCCGGGGAAAAGAGUGCAUCCAUGAACAAUUAAGUGUUGGGGUAACACAGUGCCCAAACUGGACUCUGCACCACUAAAGGUUGUAUCCUACAAUUCUUGUUUUUACGGACUUUUAGAAUGUGGACUGUGUAUUUUCCUUUUAAAAAAAAGGAAAUUAAUUCCUGAUAUGUUUAGGUUCUGUUAUGUUCGUUUAUCUUUUUAAUGUACCUUAUAUUGUCUUGUACAAUAGAACUUACUGUUGCUUUUUUCUAAAUUACUGUUGUGUCUUUCAUUGUGUGUUUACUCACCGCCCAAUUUAAAGAAACCUGUGUGCUAUUACUGGUAAAUUUCAGGAGUUGCCAGUCUCUUAAUAAAACUGGGUGGCGUAGUCGGAUAUUUUAAUAGUGUCUAAGUUAGAUUACCUAUAAGUGUGACCAGACACCUGUGACAUUUCCAAUUAAUGCUAUGCUAUCAAGCUUUGAACCUUUCUCUUUAAAUGUUCUGUAACAGCUAACAUAGUUACUGACAAUGAUCUAACUGCUUAAAAUUGUUAAACAUGAAAAACAAUUUCUUGCAAUUUGGGUGCAUCUCCUUUUAACAUUAUCAGGGAGAAUCAAUACAAUUUAAAUGAACAUUAUACACAAAGAGCUGUAUGUUCUCUAGUGCAUGUCUUUCUGUUCAAAUAAAUAUUUCAAAAAAUGGAUGCAAGCAUAUCCUUAUUAAUAGCACUCAAACCAGUUAAAGACACUGGUUUAAAAAUUGUUUUUACAUGUACCUGAUGCAGAAGGAACAGUUCUGAAUAACUUAUUACUUAGUUAAAAUUAAUAGUAAUAGAAAUUCUGUAUCUGCAUAGCUAAAUAUGGAAUGAAUACCAUGUGCUGUUUUUUCCCCCUAUACUAAGUCAACAUUUACAAACUGGCACAAAUUUAGAAAUAAUCAGGGGAUUAGCAGAUACUCUAAAUUCUGCUGCAGUUUUUUAUGAAUGCUGUAGGCUGAGAUGUUGCUAUCAGGUGCAUCUUUACAAGCUAAGCAUAUUUUCCUUAUUCCAAAUAUAUACUGCACAAUCCUGUGGCAAUGAUACCUUGAAAAAUGUGCAUAUAAAAUAUACAUUUUCAGCUUUCAUACAACUUCACCUCAAAAAUGACCUACCAUAUAAACAUCUCUUCUAUUAAAAGUAACUCAGAUACUACACUAAAAAUGUUUGCAGUCUUUUCUAAUUUUCUUUUCACUAUCCAUUAAUGAGGCUUUAGUUUAGUAACAGAACUGACAGUGGAAAUAUCUCAAGGCUAUAUCAGUGCUUUCAUGGCAAUACAUCUCUAAACAAUCUGAAGUAGAGCAAGGAAAGGUAAAUUACAAUUAGAAUUUCAGACAAUAUAAUAAAAGUGAAGUCUUUACCCAUGGUGUAAGUCAUUGUCUACUUUCAUUCA